AGCUUUUCAAAUCCAUGCAGAGAUUUCGUCGGACACCAACCCAUUAGGUCUGAUCAUACUCUCAAGGUAGAUGAAGUU
rfam:Schistosoma haematobium scaffold921_3, whole genome shotgun sequence.